rnacentral:rRNA from 1 species
GCUAGGGGCUUAGAUACCGUGAAGACAUCAGAUCCCAUCUGAUCUUGGAAACCUAGCAUGGCCAACUCUGGUUAGUACUUGAUUGAAAGAUCACCAAUAAAUACCAGGUGCUGUAGGCU